rnacentral:rRNA from 1 species
CGAAGCCGUGAGGUGGAGCGAAUCCCAGAAAUAAACGUCUCAGUUCGGAUUGUAGUCUGCAACUCGACUACAUGAAGCUGGAAUCGCUAGUAAUCGCGAAUCAGAAUGUCGCGGUGAAUACGUUCCCGGGUCUUGUACACACCGCCCGUCACACCAUGAGAGUCGGGAACACCCGAAGUCCGUAGUCUAACCGCAAGGAGGGCGCGGCCGAAGGUGGGUCUGGUAAUUGGGGUGAAGUCGUAACAAGGUACC